GGGGAGGGAGGUGCCAUUGGGGGGGGCGAGGAACCCCCCUAAUAUAAUGGUAAGGGAAACACUGAUCUACAUACAGUGUUUCGUAUCAUAUAAAACAAUAUUGAUGUAGGUGCUCAGACACGAUUCAUCUUGUAAAUAGACAAUAUAAACGGUAUCUGUACAGUACUUUCUCUUAUGUUUUUCUUAGCAUUUUCUUUUCUCUAGAUAACUUUAUUGUACAGUACACCUAUAUAUAUUCUAUGUCAUGUUCUAUCACAAGUUUAUUACAUUUUCCAUUAUAGAUUGCUGCUGUCUUGUGAAUACACUAAUAUAUUAUUACCUCAAUUUAGGUAAAGUAUAUGACAACAAUUGGGGGUCCCAACCCAUCUGCCAACACAAGACGCAUCCUUGUGCGUAUGCUAACCACCCCACUGGCCCAGCAGUUGUGCUGGCGGGGCUCUGGCCAGAAGAUGGCCUUUGGGGAGAUGCUAGUCUGCAGAGCAGUCAUAGAUGCUGUGACAAAAAGUAGCUGGGCCACAGCCUCAGAGGUGGAAUCUUCAGUUAAAACAUGGCUGCAGAAUGCUAAACACUGAGGGGAUUGAUUUAAUAUUGAUUAUUUGUGUAUGUAAUACUAUGUGCUCAUUGUUCUGUUUAAUAAAAAAUAUAUAUUUAGUACUCAA